UCGAUUUGGGCUGAUUGCCACAAUUGUGCUUCUUUUUCCACUAACUGUAAUACCUCUAACGGAUCUUUAUCAAUAUUUUCAAAGAUUUUUUCAUUCCUUACUUUCCAAAUGUACCAGAUAAUCCAUGGAAAGACCGAAGAAUCAAAAUCCGAAGGUAUUCUCCAAAAUAAGUGGUCUAAAUUCGCAAAAAAAUAGACUCCGUUGGGAAAAUUCCCAU
rnacentral:lncRNA from 1 species